GAGGGCAUAGCUCAGUGGUAGAGCGUGCACGAGAUCCUGGGUUCAAUCCCCAGUACCUGCA
rnacentral:tRNA from 1 species